rnacentral:rRNA from 1 species
GACGAACGCUGGCGGCGUGCUUAACACAUGCAAGUCGAACGGAAAGGCCCUGCUUUUGUGGGGUGCUCGAGUGGCGAACGGGUGAGUAACACGUGAGUAACCUGCCCUUGACUUUGGGAUAACUUCAGGAAACUGGGGCUAAUACCGGAUAGGAGCUCCUGCUGCAUGGUGGGGGUUGGAAAGUUUCGGCGGUUGGGGAUGGACUCGCGGCUUAUCAGCUUGUUGGUGGGGUAGUGGCUUACCAAGGCUUUGACGGGUAGCCGGCCUGAGAGGGUGACCGGCCACAUUGGGACUGGGAUACGGCCCAGACUCCUACGGGAGGCAGCAGUGGGGAAUAUUGCACAAGGGGCGGAAGCCUGAUGCAGCAACGCCGCGUGCGGGAUGACAGCCUUCGGGUUGUAAACCGCUUUCGCUGUGACGAAGCGUGAGUGACGGUAAUGGGUAAAGAAGCACCGGCUAACUACGUG